UGGGGAAUAUUGGACAAUGGGCGCAAGCCUGAUCCAGCCAUGCCGCGUGAGUGAUGAAGGCCCUAGGGUUGUAAAGCUCUUUCACCGGUGAAGAUAAUGACGGUAACCGGAGAAGAAGCCCCGGCUAACUUCGUGCCAGCAGCCGCGGUAAUACGAAGGGGGCUAGCGUUGUUCGGAUUUACUGGGCGUAAAGCGCGCGUAGGCGGUUUUUUAAGUCUGAUGUGAAAGCCCACGGCUCAACCGUGGAGGGUCAUUGGAAACUGGAAAACUUGAGUGCAGAAGAGGAAAGUGGAAUUCCAUGUGUAGCGGUGAAAUGCGCAGAGAUAUGGAGGAACACCAGUGGCGAAGGCGACUUUCUGGUCUGUAACUGACGCUGAUGUGCGAAAGCGUGGGGAUCAAACAGG
rnacentral:rRNA from 1 species